AUGUACCCGCACAGCCCUACCGGCGAGUACCGACUGCUUCUGUAUCCAUGCCGGAGGUCGAUGCUUGAUGAACCGGCACCUCAUGCUCAAGAUGGCGCUCAUGUCUUCACAUUAGGCUCCGGCCAGCCGCCGAGGCAUAUAGGAUGCCCCGAAGCGAAGGAAGCGAUGUGCAGCCCCGGGUCUGUUCUAUUCAGUUGUAGCUUGCAUUGGUACAUAGGCCACAUGAUAAUGGUAUUUGACACCAUUGCUGAGUCAUUCCGGCUGAUGCCCUGUCCGAUUGUUCCUGGCUAUGCCGAUCUAUUUGAGAUGGGUGACAUCCUUGGCAUGCCCGGUCUUAAUGAGGAAGAGACAAGCGUUGAAAUCUGGGUGAUGCAGGACUACGAAGGUGAGGUCUGGUCCUUAAAAUACCGGGUGGAAUUGCCAAUUGCAGAGAUCAGGGUGCAAUUUGGGAAGUUUCAUCAUCAUUGGGAGGUGGUUGCCACGUCUUGGGACGAUGAUGUGAUUGUGCUAGUCAAAUCUGAUGAUUGGCUACUUCAGGUUGACAUGGAUGACCAUUUGGUUGCCAGUUUCCAUCACAGAGGCCUCGGUCCUACUCAACUUCGGAUCAAACAAUCUCUUGUUUCACAUACCUUCUUUCCGACACGAAAAGGUUAUUUUGCGAGUGCUUAG
rnacentral:rRNA from 1 species